CAAGGACCUAAGAAUCCUGCCCCCACCGAGGUCGAGGUUGGCUGAGGUCAGACAAAAGAGAUUAAUAGAGCUCUGUUCUCAGCAAGCCACAAAGAGCCACUAUUACAAACAGCAGGGGGCCCUGCCAGGAGACACAGCGGGCUUUCAAGUCACAGCCAACCUAGAAAACUAAAGAGAGAGCAGUUCCAGCACAGUCCAGAAAGCCACCCGGAACUAGAGGAGGAGGAGGAGCAGUAGAAGUAACCCAAAAUGGCUCCUUACCCGAUGCAUGGCACAGUGGGGCAGCACAGGCCCCGGCCACUCGGAGAUGACGGUGAUUAUGUGCAUGAAAUGGAACUCUGCAUGACCCCGAGGAAGCAAGUCCACAAAAUCUGUGACCCAGAGAUCACUUAAAGGACACAGGAGGGUGUGUGAUGCUCUGCCCUUUUAUACAAGGGGACUUGAACUUCUAGGAACUCUGGGGUCCAAGAGGGAACUGAACCCCCACCAGUACUGAGCAAUGACUGCAUAAGACAAUUUCUCUAAGCAGCACUCAUAUUCUCGUGCCUUCCUAGAAUAGAGGAUGAUAAAAAUAAGCAUAAUUUUCAUCGUGAACAAGAGGCCAAAUUCUUCCACAUCCGAUACUAACAUUUGGAUCUUCGGGGCUCCUGGGGGAGCAGAAGUGCUGGUGUCCGUGUCUGCACUCACUGAAUUCCUAGGUUGGUGUUUAAGUUUUCAGGCUACCCUGUCAGUGCCUGCAUUCCACCUGUCCAACUCUCCAACUCUUUUAAGGCGGUGGCUCUAAUUUGCUCCCCACCUUGGAAAGCGGCACACACACACACACACACACACACACACACACACGUGUUAGGAGUGUGAGAAGAGUAGGACGACCUAGAUCUGACCUCAAUGGCAGGCUGGGUCCUGGUUAG
rnacentral:lncRNA from 1 species